GACGAACGCUGGCGGAGUGCCUAACACAUGCAAGUCGAACGGAGCUUGUUUGAAUUGAGACUUCGGUCAAUUUUCAUUUAAGCUUAGUGGCGGACGGGUGAGUAACGCGUGAGUAACCUGCCGUUCAGAGGGGGACAACAGUUGGAAACGACUGCUAAUACCGCAUAAUGUAUCUCUGGGACAUCCCUAAGAUACCAAAGGAGCAAUCCGCUGAAUGAUGGACUCGCGUCUGAUUAGAUAGUUGGUGGGGUAACGGCCUACCACGUCGACGAUCACUAACCGGACUGGGAGGUUGAACGGCCGCAUGGGGAAUGAGACACGGCCCAGACUCCUACGGGAGGAAGCAGUGGGGGAUAUUGCACAAUGGAGGAAACUCUGAUGCAGCAACGCCGCGUGAGGGAAGAAGGUCUUCGGAUUGUAAACUUCUUUUAUUAAGGACGAAGAAGUGACGGUACUUAAUGAAUAAGCCACGGCUAACUACGUGCCAGCCGCCGCUGAAAUAC
rnacentral:rRNA from 1 species